GCCAGCAACCAUAUCACCCUGCAACUCACAACUGGCAAACCACUGAAGCUUAGCAGGUGUGAGCCUGGUCAGUACCUGGAUGGGAGACCUCCUGGGAAAGCUAAGGUUGCUGCUAGAA
ensembl:rRNA 5S_rRNA 5S ribosomal RNA